GUCAUGGAGACGCGGAGCCGACGCGGCUGCGGGCGGGGGCGGGGGCGACAGGGACCGGGGGCUACAGGUCAGGCGGCCCAGGCGGCGCCGCGGAUCCGACCGGCAUGUCGAGUGAGACGAGCGCCCCGGCGGCCUCCCCCAGGGCCCCGCGUCCCGGGACCCUGAAGUCGUCGGGGGCGGUGACCAAGAAGGGGGACCGAGGGGGCAAGGAGAAGCCGACGCCCGUCCUGCCCUCGGUGGGCGAGGAGGAGCCCAAGAACCCCGAGGAGUACCAGUGCACCGGGAUCCUGGAGAUUGACUUUGCCGAGCUCUGCACUCGUUCUGGCUAUACUGACUUCCCCAAAGUGGUCCCCCGGCCCCGUCCGCACCCCACCUUUGUCACCUCUUCCUCCAUGUCAGAAAAGCCCAUCCUAGCGCCCCUGCCUCCAGAUGACCAGCGCCUGUCGGGGUCCUGCAGCCUCAACAGUGUGGAGAGCAAGUACGUGUUCUUCCGACCCACCAUCCAGGUGGAGCUGGAAGCUGAGGACAAGGCCGUGAAGGAGAUCUACAUCAGAGGCUGGAAAGUAGAUGACCGGAUCCUGGGAAUCUUCUGGAAAUGCCUGCCUCCCCUUAGCCAGCUGCAGGCCAUCUGCCUGUGGAAAGUGGGGCUCACAGACCAGACUUUAAGCACCCUCAUCGCCCUGCUGCCGCUCUGCUCCCCAACUCUCAGGAAGGUGUCUUUGGAGGGGAACCCGUUGCCAGAGCAGUCAUACCACAAGCUCAUGAGCGUGGACAGCACGAUCGCGCACCUGUCCCUGCGGAACAACAACAUCGACGACCAAGGUGCGCGGCUGCUGGGCCAGGCGCUGUCUACGCUGCACAGCUGCAACCGGGCGCUCGUCUCGCUCAACCUGGGCUUCAACCACAUCGGGGAUCAGGGCGCCGAGCACAUCGCCAACGGCCUCCGGCUGAACCGCUCCCUGCUCUGGCUGUCCCUGGCCCACAACCGCAUCCGCGACAAGGGCGCUCUGAAGCUGGCGGAGGUGCUGCGCCCCUUUGAGCUGACGCACACGGAGGUGGUGGAGCGCCGGCGCCUCCUGCUGGAGAAGGGGUCGCAGGAGCGGUCGCGAUCGCCGUCCUCUUCGAGACAUGGGGACUCGAAAACCGACCGGGAGAAGAGCCAGCUGAUGGGAGUUAGCAGCGUGGCCAUGGUGGAUAAGACUGACAAAAUGCAGGCCACCAAGACCCCCAAGGGCCUGGGCAAGAAAAAGGAGAAGACAGGGGAGGUGGUAAAGAAGGAGGAGAAGUCUGGGUCUGGCCAGUCCCCCACCCAAGGGACUCCUAAGAAAGAAGACUCCACAAAGGCUGGCAAAGGGAAGGUCACCAUCCCUGAGCAAAAACCCAUCAAGGGCAAAGGGCCGAAGACCGGGAGCAAAGAGAAGCGUAGCAUCCUCCUGGAGUCCGAGCAGUUGGUUGCUGAAACCACGGAGAUGGUGAACCCCCUGCUGGAGCCAGUGGAGCACCGUGAUGGGAAGGUCUUCAUGCCGGGGAACAAGGUCCUUCUGCACCUCAACCUCCUCCGGAACUAUAUCACAGAGGUGGGGCUGGAGGGCUUCCUCACCGCCGUGCAGUACCAGGUCCAGUUCAAGUCCAAGAGUGUCACCAAGGGCCCCGUGGGGCUGCUCUGGCUAUCUCUGGCAAAGAACUGUUUCCCCCCACAAAGCCCCAUGUACGCCAUGAUCCAGGAGCUGAUGCUGCCCAGGGACCCAAUCAGUAAGACCAAGAGGGAGGAUGACAUCCUGGGGCUCCCCAGCUAGCCCCGUUCCUUCAGAGACCACCACGCCUCUCCUGACAGCCCAGCUCUAUGGUGUGUCCUGGCCUCAGGCCCCCAGGGCUCCUCCCCACCUGAUGCAGGGCAGCCCAGACCUUACAGCCUCUCUGAGGGGGCCCAUUCCAGCCCUUCUAAGGCUUCAGAGACCCCUACAGCUCUGUGUGCUCAGCACUUAGCAACUUGCUUGGUUCAGAAGCAAAGGUCAGUGAUGACUGAGAGAACUGUCCCGACCCAAUCGCAGUGGACUGGGAUGGCAGUCUUGGGGGACCUGGCUGCACCUGCCCUGUGGCUUCCAGGCAGUGUCAGUGAGGAACUGGCCAGGUUCUUCCAGUGCUGCAGCUCACAGGGGCAGCUCCUGAGGCCUCUAGAGGCUGGGCCCAUAGACCCUCUUCAGACAUGUGUGUGCUGACAUGCAUGGGCUGUCUGCCUGACUGUGGGGUGGUACAGCUUUGUCCCAGUGCAUCUCAGGGAGUCCUGUGAGCCUGUGUGUAGGGGCCUGAUGCUGGUGAUGGGGCCUCCUCCUGUCCUCCCCCACCUCCAGUCACUCUUACCACAGUGGCUACAAAAAUCACACCACACCACACCACAGUUGAAGAAUAUUUAACUUUUCUUAAAAAAAAAAAAAAUCAACCAUGAAAGGAAGAAAAUAAAAGAGUAUACAUUAUUUUAACAGCAAAA